rnacentral:lncRNA from 1 species
GCUCACCGUGGUGAGCCAGGCUGGAAACAAGAGGAGAGAGGACAGCAGAGCGCUGUCUCCCACUAAGGACGCUCUAUCUUAGGUUCUGGUUUAAGACGAUUACAAUCAUCCCAACUCACAGACCCAACCACGUAAGAGACACAAACGUCUGUUGAUUACGAACUAAACCCAAUUAUGAAAAAGGAAAUAGAUCAUUUACGGAUACAGGAUGUUACGCAAAUCACUUUGCCCGUUCUCCAAUUCUCUCAUUGGUUCUUCCCAAGAUCCCAGACAUUGUUCUAUGAGUACAGAACCUAGGAGAUCCAAAGGCCAGGGUGAUCCCCAGAGCCACACCCCAAGCUUUGGCCAGAGAAGGACAGGAAGGCAGGCGCUGGGACUCCACAUCUGGGGUUUCUCACAAAUUGCCUUGGCUUCCAAGCUGCACCUCCCUUGCUCUCGGGUGUUUCAAGCUUGUCCAAGGGGCAUAGUAAGUGUCAUUCUCCGCAGUUUUUAUUACUUGACUUUGCCCAUAAAUUCUAAUUCUGCGUACUGUUUCACUGAAAGGUUUGGGAAUGGCGGCCG